UGGUGACUCUUUUUCAGAACUGAUGUC
rnacentral:piRNA from 1 species